rnacentral:snoRNA from 1 species
CCGACCUUACUUGAAUAGGAUCUGUUCUAUAGGCUCGUGCCUCUGUAUCCUUGAGUUCUAAGGAGACAUGAACCUAUGUCUGGUCGAUAAAAUCAUGACCGUCCGACCAGCGCGUGGUUAAUUGUUGGUGAUCUACAAGGUGGGUCACUGAACUGUAGAGGAUCGUUCUCAGCUCAUCAUCUGACGGCUGAGAUGGUCGGGCGGUUGUCUGACAUACU